AGACGUGGCCGACGUGGGUCAAAGUGCGGUAUCUGUUCUUAUCAGUUUAAUAUCCGAUACGGGUUGUAUUUAUACCAAAGAUAUUAAGAUUAUUUGUGCAAGUUGGCAGAGUGAUUAAAGCCUGCUUCCCCUCCACCACUGGUCGGCGUGCGUAUGAGGAUAAAUUUUAGAUUUACACUGCUCGAUAGACGCACGCCAU